rnacentral:tRNA from 2 species
GGUAGCGUGGCCGAGCGAUCUAAGGCGCUGGAUUAAGGCUCCAGUUUCUGUGGGGGCAUGGGUUCGAAUCCCACCGCUGCCA